rnacentral:tRNA from 1 species
GACCCCGUAGCUCAGCGGUAGAGCGUGAGAUUCCAGUGUGGUUCCUCAAGGUCAUCCGUUCAAUCCGGGUCGGGGUCA